rnacentral:rRNA from 1 species
UACGUAGGGUGCAAGCGUUGUCCGGAAUUAUUGGGCGUAAAGAGCUCGUAGGCGGUCUGUCGCGUCGGCUGUGAAAACCCCGGAGCUCAACUCCGGGCCUGCAGUCGAUACGGGCAUCACUGGAGUUCGGCAGGGGAGACUGGAAUUCCUGGUGUAGCGGUGAAAUGCGCAGAUAUCAGGAGGGAACACCGAGUGGCGAAGGCAGGUCUCUGGGCCACUACUGACGCUGAGAAGCGGAAAGCAUGGGGAGCGAACAGG